AUCUAUCGUCGCCCCGGCGAAGGCCGGGGCCGCUGCGUUGUUUGGCAGACGGAUCGCCCCAAACAUGGCGGCCCCGGCCUCGCCGGGGCGACGGCCUUA
rnacentral:pre_miRNA from 1 species